CCUCUGAAGAUAUUAAAAGCCU
rnacentral:miRNA from 1 species